AGCCGUGCACCCGGCCCGCGCGCACACGUGCACGCCAGGCUGGUGCUGGCCAUCUCCACCUGUUCACACCUCUGCUGUCAGACUGCAGCUGGCGGAGCGGCUCGGUGUCGGUUGGGCUCCUCAGACGCCGCUGAAUGGAUCACCUCCAGCAAACGGCUUCAGCGCAGAACCUCCUCCGAACCCCGCUCCGUGCUUCUCCCGGUACAGCGCAGUCUGACGACCCAGUCUGCGGACGCGGAUUGCCGGUUCGGUCUCGUGCUCGGCCGUGAGGACGGCGGAUCAAUCGGUCUCCGUCCGCGAGCAGCGAGUCGUCUGCACGGCUUUAUUCUUCAGUACCAGAUUGGAUCAAACGCUGUGGGGUCGGACUAUGGUGCCGGUACCGCUUCGACCCACGGCGCCGUGAGAACCCCAUCCCGUUUUCUGCUGUUUUCGUUGGUCAGCGGGAUCGUGCUUCUGGGCAGGUCCGCCGCUCCCCGCUCCAUGAUGUUCACCUUCGCUGCCUUCUGCUACAUGCUGUCUCUGGUCCUCUGCGUCUCCCUCAUCUUCUUCGCCAUCUGGCACAUAACAGCUUUUGAGGAACUCCAGGCUGACUUCAAGGUGCCGAUUGAUCAGGGAAAUCCACUCCAUGCGAGGGAGAGACUCAGAAACAUUGAGAGAAUCUGCAACCUGCUGAGGAAGUUGGUGCUACCUGAGUACUCCAUCCAUGGCCUGUUCUGCAUUAUGUUCCUGUGUGCCCAGGAGUGGCUUACUGUAGGCCUUAACGUCCCUCUGCUCUUCUACAACACUUGGAGAAUGGGUGAACUACCCAGGUUUUGGUCUUUGCCCUCUGUGGUAGGUACUUUCAUUCCCCAACGGAUACCAAGGAGAUCCUGUAUGACCCAGCGUCUGUGAUGAACGGAGACACGCUGAAGUUCUGCCAGAAGGAAGCCUGGUGCAAGCUGUCAUUCUUCGUUUUGUCCUUUUUCUAUUAUCUUUAUUGUGUGUGGAACCUGGAUAUAUCCCUCUAUUAGCUCUUAUCAGGGAAAACACUCAAAGUUAGACCCACUUCCUGGUUACCGCAUAACGUCCACCCUCAGUGAGUUGGGACAAACAGAACAGCAUGCAGACUGAUGCCACUGCCCAUUGAGUCAGAAGGGAAGUGUAAAAACAGGGACUAAAGUCUAUUCAUUUAUUUUACUGCGAAACCAAACAAUGAACUCAGAACUGUUUUUCUGAUUCGCGCCACAACGAGAUGGUCGAGGACAAAAUCUGCCGUUUACAGUUUGCUCUGAAGUUACACACUGCCUGGCAUUACUCACACACAAGCACACACACACACACACCCUAUCUCUGUCCUCUGACACGCCACUGUACAUGCGGUGGACUCAUGGUGGCCACAGCCCCGAGGGCAGAGAGCACAGUAGCAUUUGCACAGUUUGUCUCAGGCACAGCGCACUAGAGAACCGUCCAGCCCGGCCCAGCUCGUCCCUUGCCCAUUGACUGAAGUACUGUCUGGCCCGCCUCCUCCUCACAGAUGUCUCACCAACUGUAGCUUCACUGGUGAGUCUGCAGCAGCAGCAGAGAGGUGGACCAAGAUGGAUUCCUCACAGAGAAAACAAAUGAGCUCCUGAACGAGCUAACAGGCGAGUCGGUGGGAUUUACUUUCUAACGUGACAUCAGUGGCUUUCUGUGAUGUGUUGUAUUUUAUAAAUAAAAGGCAUUUCUAUCUGACUGACAGAACAUAUAUUCUAUACAACCAAUGCCUUCUUGUGGUCGUCCUCGUGUUGUUCUGUUGUGAGAAACAUUUAUAAACUCAAACUAAAGAGCAGAGCUCAUCGGAGGCUUUUGUGGUGGAAGAGCACACGUUCUUUGCACAAAAGGUUGCAUUGCUCUUGCACGUGAUUUCCAACAUUUGGCUCUUUUUUUUUAGAGAAUUAGUCCUGUUCUAGUGAGACAGGUGAAGGUCUUCCAGCGUGUAAAGGACUCAGCCCGGUCAGAUGGGGAACAAUGUGAAUCUUUUCUAUCUCUUUGGACAAAAUGUUGUAUUUUCACUACAUGAGCUGAUUUAUGUUUGAUUAUGAUGUGCUGGUGACUUACUUCUAUGUUUUAUCUGAAGAUGAAUGACAGCACCUUUAUAACACAAUAUUUCAAGUCAUAAAGAUAAUACCACAGCUAAUGAAUCUAGUGGCUGACAUGAACAUUUAACCCCAUUGUCCACAUGUAGCACACUUUUAUCAUGGACCUGCAUCGCCACAUCGACUGUAAGCACUCAAAGCCCAUGGGAAUGCCCUGUUUUUGUUGUUUUCUCUUAUUCUGACUUGAGUUUUUUUUUUUAACACUGUUUGUGUGACCAGCCACACUAAUGUUGAAUAUUGUUUAUGAAAUAAAAGAAACAUCCCU